rnacentral:rRNA from 1 species
UACGUAAGUGGCGAGCGUUAUCCGGAAUUACUGGGCGUAAAGCGCACGUAGGCGGACUAUUAAGUCAGGGGUGAAAUCCCGGGGCUCAACCCCGGAACUGCCUUUGAUACUGGUAGUCUCGAGUCCGGAAGAGGUGAGUGGAAUUCCGAGUGUAGAGGUGAAAUUCGUAGAUAUUAGCUAGAACACCAGUGGCGAAGGCGGCCAACUGGUCCGGUACUGACGCUGAGGUGCGAAAGCGUGGGGAGCAAACAGG